UACGUAGGGGGCAAGCGUUAUCCGGAUUUACUGGGUGUAAAGGGAGCGUAGACGGUUUGUCAAGUCUGAAGUGAAAGCCCGGGGCUCAACCCCGGAACUGCUUUGGAAACUGAUGUACUAGAGUGCAGGAGAGGUAAGUGGAAUUCCUAGUGUAGCGGUGAAAUGCGUAGAUAUUAGGAGGAACACCAGUGGCGAAGGCGGCUUACUGGACUGUAACUGACGUUGAGGCUCGAAGGCGUGGGGAG
rnacentral:rRNA from 1 species